AUACGGAGGGUGCAAGCGUUGUUCGGAAUUUAUUGGGCGUAAAGCGCGUGUAGGCGGUUUCUUAAGUCUGAUGUGAAAGCCCCGGGCUCAACCUGGGAAGUGCAUUGGAAACUGGGGGACUUGAGUACGGGAGAGGAUAGUGGAAUUCCUAGUGUAGGAGUGAAAUCCGUAGAUAUUAGGAGGAACACCGGUGGCGAAGGCGGCUACCUGGACCGAUACUGACGCUGAGACGCGAAAUCGUGGGGAGC
rnacentral:rRNA from 1 species